rfam:Oleiphilus sp. HI0009 HI0009_c631, whole genome shotgun sequence.
GUAUCGAUAGCUCAGUCGGUAGAGCAACGCAUUGAAAAUGCGUGGGCGCAUGUUCAAUUCAUGCUCGAUACA